AUUGAACGCUGGCGGCAGGCUUAACACAUGCAAGUCGAGCGGGGUGAUGGUGCUUGCACUAUCACUUAGCGGCGGACGGGUGGGUAAUGCUUAGGAAUCUGCCUAUUAGUGGGGGACAACAUCCCGAAAGGGAUGCUAAUACCGCAUACGUCCUACGGGAGAAAGCAGGGGAUCACUUGUGACCUUGCGCUAAUAGAUGAGCCUAAGUCGGAUUAGCUAGUUGGUGGGGUAAAGGCCUACCAAGGCGACGAUCUGUAGCGGGUCUGAGAGGAUGAUCCGCCACACUGGGACUGAGACACGGCACAGACUCCUACGGGAGGCAGCAGUAGGGAAUAUUGGACAAUGGGGGAACCCUGAUCCAGCCAUGCCGCGUGUGUGAAGAAGGCCUUAUGGUUGUAAAGCACUUUAAGCGAGGAGGAGGCUCUUUUGGUUAAUACCCAAGAUGAGUGGACGUUACUCGCAGAAUAAGCACCGGCUAACUCUGUGCCAGCAGCCGCGGUAA
rnacentral:rRNA from 1 species